CAGUAAGUGAAUGGAUAAACAAAUUAUAGUACAUCCAUACCACAGAAUACUGUGUAUCGAUACAAAGAGAUAAACUAUUGAUACAAGCAACCACACCUACAAAUUUCAAAAUAAUUAUGCUGAAUGAAGAAAGUUUUAUCAAGAAGAAUAUAUACUGUAUGACUCUUUUCAAAUAAAACUCUAUAAAAUAUAAAUUAAUCUAUAGUAACAGAAAACAGAGUUGAGAUUAACUGUGAAUGAGGUGCGAGGAAGGAUGGAUUUCAAAGGAAGCUUUUGAGGAUGAUGUUGAUUGUGGUGCUAUUUAUGGGUGCAUGCAUAUGUCAAAACUCAUUAAGCUGCACUCUUUAAAUAUGUGCAGUUUAUUGUUCUUCAAUAAUACUUCAGUAAAGUUAUAAAAUAACAAAAGGAUGACCUUAGUUUUUCCAAAAUAGAGUUUGUAAUUUUUGUUUUUUAUUGUCUUUGAGGUUUAUGGAGAACUUCAAGGAAGAGAAGGUGGAAAUGUCAGAUGUUUCUAUGGUUUGAAUAUUUGUGUCCCCUCAAAAUUCAUAUGUUGAAAUCCUAAUCCCCAAGGUGAUGGUAUUAGGAGGUGGGGGCCUGGGAGGUGAUUAGGUCAUGGGGGCUGAGACCUCCUGAUUAGGAUUAGUGGCCAUAUAAGACGUCACAGAAUGCCCUAGUCCCUUCCACCAUGUGAGGACACAGUGAGAAGGCGCUUGUCUAUGACACAUAAAUCAGGGCCCCACAAGACACCAAAACUACUGGCACCAUCAUCUUGGACUUCCCAGCCGUCAGAACUGUGAGAAAUACAUAUUUGUUGUUGAUGAGCCACUCAGUCGAUGGUAUUUUGUUACAGCAGCCCAAAGAGACUAAGACACAUCCCAUUACUAAAGCUGGAAGCCCCCCUGUUUUGAGAUUUUUAGAUAAAAAUAUCUAAGAUCAUAUUUUUUCAGCAGUGCUCAGCCUGAGUCUGAAGGGAAAGACAGUAAAAGAGUGGAAUGGAUCCAAGAGCAGUGUCUUUCCCAGGCAAUUUCAGAGAAAGGACAAUGGGAUUUAGAUUAUUUAUUGAAAACAUUGUUAAAGAGAUGGAACAUGAAGUAUAAGUAGGUUGAGGAAAAAAGUGAGAACAGCUGAGAGUAAUAGAAGAAAGGGAGGAAAAAUGGAAAGACUAGAGGGUCUCAGGAAGUCAGAGAACCAAGAUAAGUGAAUUCCAAUGCAUGGGAAAGCUAAUGAGUGGAUUUUGUGCUUGAGAGAUUAUAGGUGGCCACAGGGCUCAGUGGUCAGAGAGUGAGCAGAGGAGAGAAAUAUAGGCAAUUCAGCUGAACAUAUUGUACCGUUUUUUCUUCUUUUAAUCACAUUAAUCUGAUUCUUUAAAAAGCAGCUUGGUAAAAUUAUUAAUCUUUAGCUUAAAUGAUGGAAUUAAAAGUAGCUGAAGCUAAAUAACCUUACCAGAGCCUUAAGUGUGGAAAGAACAGCUUGAAUGUUUAUGUUUAUUUUUAUUUUUUAUUAAACUCAGCGUUUUAGCAUGAGAAGAGAGACUGGAAAACAGGGGAAGAAAAAGAGAGAAGGUUGGAGUAAGGGGGCCCAAGCAGGCUGACUUGGAAAUGUGUACUCACUAAUUAGACGGAUUCUGCAGGGUAGGGUCAUUUUAUUUGUACAGUAGUUGUUUUUUCAUAAAUAGAACACCAUCUUCUAAAACCCAAAGCAGAGCAUGAGUAGGGAUGAGGCUGGCCCUAAAUGUUUCACAGUGGCAACGACAGCUUGUGUUUGGUGGCCACCUCUGUGCCAGGAACGAACCCCCCUAAUAGACUGUGGACUAUGGUGGUGGCACUGAUGGUGGAGAGAAGUGAACAGAAUUAAGACACAUUUUGAAGAGGAAGAAGAAUGAAGAGUGAUUCCUUUCUCACUUGAGUAACUUGAGGAUGCAGUGAUACAACUUACUGUGAUAGGUUGCUUCUACUGCAAAGGAUCUCAUUAGGAAGAAAUUUCUGGGAGCCAUUCUCCCUGUGGCCAUCGGACCAUGUGUUGUACAGUUCUCGGCUGAUGGAUCACUGUGUAAGUAUAAAUCUUGAUGAUCACAUGCUUAG